CCUACUGGUGACAUCAUUGAGGCAUCUUGGUCAAUGGCCGGAAGGCUGAACCAGCAAAGUCGCGUGAGGUCCUCCUUCCCUCUUUUUUUUCCCCCUCUUUUCUCCUUUAACCAUAAAUGCUACGUGUAGCAUGAUGCCUGUACCUUAUGAAUAAGCAUCGGCUAACUCCGUGCCAGCAGCCGCGGUAAUACGGAGGAUGCGAGCGUUAUCCGGAUUUAUUGGGUUUAAAGGGUGCGUAGGCGGUUUUUUAAGUUAGUGGUUAAACGUCGGGGCUUCACCUUGAUUUGCCAUUAAUACUGUAAGACUCGAGUUCAGACGAGGUAGGCGGAAUAAGUUAAGUAGCGGUGAAAUGCUUAGAUAUAACUUAGAACUCCGAUAGCGAAGGCAGCUUACCAGACUGCGACUGACGCUGAAGCACGAGAGCGUGGGUAGCGAACAGGAUUAGAGAAAAUUGUAGUC
rnacentral:rRNA from 1 species